rnacentral:rRNA from 1 species
UGGGGGAUAUUGCACAAUGGGCGAAAGCCUGAUGCAGCGACGCCGCGUGGGGGAUGAAGGCUUUCGGGUUGUAAACCUCUUUCGCUAUCGAACAAGGCCCGCUUAGGGUGGGUUGAGGGUAGGUGGAGAAGAAGCGCCGGCUAACUACGUGCCAGCAGCCGCGGUAAUACGUAGGGCGCGAGCGUUGUCCGGAAUUAUUGGGCGGAAAGGGCUUGUAGGCGGCUUGUUGCGCCUGCUGUGAAAACGCGGGGCUUAACUUCGCGAGGGCAGUGGGUACGGGCAGGCUUGAGUGUGGUAGGGGUGACUGGAAUUCCAGGUGUAGCGGUGGAAUGCGCAGAUAUCUGGAGGAACACCGAUGGCGAAGGCAGGUCACUGGGCCAUUACUGACGCUGAGGAGCGAAAGCAUGGGUAGAGAACAGG